rnacentral:rRNA from 1 species
GACGAACGCUGGCGGCGUGCCUAAUACAUGCAAGUAGAACGCACAAGCUUUGUUCUUGCACCGAGCGGAUGAGUUUCUGACGUGUGAGUAACGGGUUGAUAACCUGCCUGGCUGCGUGGGAUCACUAUUGGAAACGUUAGCUCAUACCGCAUAAGAGUAGAAGUUUCAUGAUAUUUGGUUAAUAGGUUCAAUUGCAUAACUACAUCAUGACCAUGUGUUGUAUUAGCUAGUUGGGGAGGUAACGGAUCACCAAGGCAACGAUACAUAGCCGACCUGAGAAGGUGAUCGGCCACACUGGGACUGAGACACGGGCCAGACUCCUACGGGAGGGAGCAGGAGGGAAUCUUCGGCAAUGGACGGAAGUCUGACCGAGCAACGCCGCGGGAGUGAAGAAGGUUUUCGGAUCGUAAAGCUCUGUUGUAAGAGAAGAACGGGUGUGAGAGUGGAAAGUUCACACUGUGACGGUAUCUUACCAGAAAGGGACGGCUAACUACGUG